rnacentral:lncRNA from 1 species
ACGGUCUCCGAAUGACAAAAUUAUGACCGUUUUAGUGAACAUCUGUCCAUUCAAUGGCAGUCCUUGAAAGUACUUCAUUUUCUCGUGCGCUUUUUGCCUGAUUGCCCCAAAAUUUCUUGUCCUCUAUAGAGGAGAUAUCGUUUCCACAUAUAUAAUGACCGAUUCCAGGAAUGCCCUUUUGUUCUUGGCUUUCACGCGCAUGAGUUACAGCAUGCCAUCCGGCGAAAACAAGGAGAAUAAGGAUAUGGCCGCUGGAUUUUCUUCAAUUUAUGGCCAAAUGAGAUUGACCGGAUCAUAGAGCAUCCGCAAAAAGGUGCGUUUGUCCCUACCAGGGGGGCUAAUGUCUAUAACCAACAUAAUCUCUCGAAUUUCCCUCAAAAGGAAGUGCCAAUGGGUUCAGAAACUUGUCUGAAAAACAGCGACGAAUGAUGUGACUUCCAGGGCCAAAAAGUCCUGCUUAAGGCUGAAUUUGAGGAUACUCCGGGCCUCCUGGCUCAAGCGGUGAAUAUUUUUAGGAUUUGCACGCUCGCUGCGAGCAGUUUGAGUACUUAUGGGUCCGACACGGACUCCGAAUGACAAAAUUAUGACCGUUUUAGUGAACAUCUGCCCAUUCUAUGGCAGUCCUUGAAAGUACUUCAUUUUCUCGUGUGCUUUUUGCCUGAUUGCCCCAAAAUGUCUUGUCCUCUAUAGAGGAGAUAUCGUUUCCACAUAUAUAUUGACCAAUUCCAGGAAUGCCCUUUUGUUCUCGGCUUUCACGUGCAUGAGUUACAGCAUGCCAUCCGGCGAAAACAAGGAGAAUAAGGCAUAUGGCCGCUGGAUUUUCUUCAAUUUACGGCCAAAUGAGAUUGCCCGGAUCAUAGAGCAUCUGCAGAAAGGUAAGUUUGUCCUACCAGGGGGGCUAAUGUCUAUAAGCAACAUAAUCUCUCGAAUUCCCUUCAAAAGGAAGUGCCAAUGGGUUCAGAAACUUGUCUGAAAAACAGCGACGAAUGACGUUCUAUGACUUUCAGGGCCAAAAAGUCCUGCUUAAGGCUGAAUUUGAGGGUACUCCGGGCCUCCUGCCUCAAGCGGUGAAUAUUUUUUGGAUUCGCGCGCUCGCUGCGAGCAGUUUGAGUACUUAUGGGUCCGACACGGACUCCAAAUGACAAAAUUAUGACCGUUUUAGUGAACAUGUGUCCUUUCUAUGGCAAUCCUUGAAAGUACUUCAUUUUCUCGUGCGCUAUUUGCCUGAUUGCCCCAAAAUUUCUUGUCCUCCAUAGAGGAGAUAUCGUUUCCACAUAUAUAUUGACUGAUGCCAGGAAUGCCCUUUUGUUCUUGGCUUUCACGCGCAUGAGUUAC